UACGUAGGGGGCUAGCGUUGUCCGGAAUCACUGGGCGUAAAGCGCACGUAGGCGGCUUUUUAAGUCAGGGGUGAAAUCCUGGAGCUCAACUCCAGAACUGCCUUUGAUACUGAAAAGCUUGAGUCCGGGAGAGGUGAGUGGAACUGCGAGUGUAGAGGUGAAAUUCGUAGAUAUUCGCAAGAACACCAGUGGCGAAGGCGGCUCACUGGCCCGUACUGACGCUGAGGUGCGAAAGCGUGGGGAGCAAACAGG
rnacentral:rRNA from 1 species